AGAUCUGGUGUCUCCAGUUUACAGAAGCACUUGCAGAACUCAUCAGAAGCCACCCCGCUUAUCAGCAGAUCUCAAGAGAUCGUUCGGUGGAGGUCCUGGGUCUACACAGCUCACCCUGGGAACUGCUCGCCUGAGCGUCGGAGCCGGCGCUGGCCCCCUGCAGCCGGAAGGUUGCAGCCGCAGGAGCCCCGGAGGCCCAGGACAUAGGGUGAAUAUGCAGGUUUUGAUGAGACGCAGCCAACAGCCGAAUCUGGUGGAAAAGGAAAAGUGAUCAAACUUUUAAAGGAAAAAUUUCAUUUUAAGAAAAUAAUCAUGAUUGGAGAUGGAGCCACAGACAUGGAAGCCUGUCCUCCUGCUGAUGCUUUCAUUGGAUUUGGAGGAAAUGUGAUCAGGCAACAAGUCAAGGAUAACGCCAAAUGGUAUAUCACUGAUUUUGUAGAGCUGCUGGGAGAACUGGAAGAAUAACAUCCAUUGUCGUACAGCUCCAAACAACUUCAGAUGAAUUUUUACAAGUUACACAGAUUGAUACUGUUUGCUUACAAUUGCCUAUUACAACUUGCUAUAGAAAGUUGGUACAGAUGAUCUGUACUUUAAACUACAGUUAGGACUCCUAGAAGAUUGCUUUUUUUUUUUUUAUCUAUAGUUCCAGUAUUAUAUGAUGACUAUUGAUUUCCUGGAGAGGUUUUU
rnacentral:sRNA from 1 species